CGGCUUCCGGUUCGGCAGCGGGAAAACUGCUUGUCUUGUCUGGGUUACUUGUUUGGUAUCUUCCUACACUUAAGGAUCACAAAUGGGUAUUGAAAUGCCUGGGUGUACCAGAUGAUGAACUGGGAUGGAGAGGUGUCACCUUCCAUCCUAGCGUCGGAAUGAACGCCAACACAUCCAGUGUACCCAAAGACUGCUCGCCCGUAUUCUCCGCUGGCUGGAUCACAAAGAGCCACACAAAUGAGGAACUCAGCCAGGAGCGGUGUUUACAACUAAAUUUGUUACAAGGGGAGCCACAGAGGAGCACGAUGCCAUGCUGUGGAGGAGCAAACCCAGGAGCUGUUUCUAAAGCCAGUGGUGCCAAUGUGGCGACAACCUGCUCCGAGGCUGAUGUGACCAUUAUUCUCCCUUAAAGUUAUGAUCGAGUAAACAUGCAAUCCAACUAA